rnacentral:lncRNA from 1 species
GUGUGUGUGUGUGUGUGCCUGCGCGCGCACAUCUGUGCUUAGGGACACAAGCCUAGGUCUGUACCAACAGUAUUCUAUAAAAAUAGGCAAAACAAAAAAAACGUCACCAGGGAAAACAGGAAUGAUUUCAAAAGCGAUUCACGUUGGCAGAGCAUUAUUGCAAUCUAAGAGAGUACUCUUAGGCUUCCAGGUAUUUUCAGACAUCUUUCAUUAUAAUGCAGUUUAAUAAUAUCGACUUCAUCAGCAACUACUUGGGGAGGGAUCUAUGCUCUUAAAAACCGACCUGUCUCCAUGCUGACAUACCCUGAAAACAACCGGAACUGAUUUUCACAUUUGCUUUCCUUUUAUUUCAAAUGAUAUAAUUUUCAGGACACUGAAUGACUCAGCAAGUAAUGGUGCUUGCCACUAUGCCUGAAGACCUGAGUCUGAGCGACCCCACCCCCAGUUGUGUUCUGACCCCCCUCACUUGAGCUACCUCUGGAAAGCACACUACUCCUUCUUCAAAUAUGAAUGGGUAAGUGCAAUAAAAAUUUUAAUUGGCAAAUAUUAAUUGUGCAGGGGCUGGGGCUUCAUAAGGACACUUUUAUACAAGCAUAUAAGGUACUUGAGCAUAUGCCCCACCCCCUCCCUGACACUCCCUCCCCCUCCUCUCAGUUCCCUUUGUUCUGCUAGACAGUUACAUUUCUUGUUCAUAGUGAGUCCCACUUUUUACAUAGUCAGUAUACAUUUUUGCUAAAUUGUAAGUCGAUUAUUUUGCCUCUACACAAUCAUGAGAAAAAAAAAAAGUAGGAGUCUUCCACUUCGGUAAGAGCCCUGGGCAUUCAGCCCACAGAGUUUUGGUUCAUAGGCAGUGUGCAUCUUGUAAAAAAUGUGCUUCCAUCUUGGCUUUGCACACUAGCUAGAAGCGCAGAGGAAAUUUCCAUUAUCUGUAACCAGCCGGCCUGUCUUGUGCUAACCCUGGCUGAGUCCAUACCUUACCCCUGUUUCAUUCACUUUCUCUAAUUAUUUCUUGUCCUGAUUUCUUUCUGGGUAUAUAUAUAUAUGUUUUGUUCAUUUAAAAUUCGAGACAGGUUCUUACUAGGUAGCCCAGGCUGCUGUAAGCUCGCCAUCCUCCUGCCUCAGCACUCUGAGUGCUGGGAUUACAGUUGUGUGUCCCCACGCCUCGUUGUACACAGUACAACAGGGGUUGUUCCUUGUACAACAGGAGUGCAAAGGGAUGAUAAAGUGAAAAAGAUGGCAGCUCACGUGGGUGACAUACCUGGGGUAUGGAUGGGAUUCAGAAAAGACAUCACAGAAUUUUUGUAAGUACAGAUGACUAAUAAAUAAAUAAAU